AGCACAAAUAUAAGGCCAUUCGGCCAUAGCUUGAAUUUUUGCCCCUUCGAAAUCUUUCUCCAAAAAUUAUUUUCUUGUGGUAUUUCCACUAAUUCAAGGGUACUUUACAACUUGGUGUAAUUAUUUUGGAAGAAAGAGCACUUGUUUCUUCAAGUUGACAACUUGGUCAAGUGAAGAAGAUUGUAGAAAAAGAUUUUGGGCGAAACGGGAAUUGAAUUUGGAAGGGCGUAAAGAGCAUAUAAGGUUCAGAUGACAGAUUUGUUGAUCCGUCUGCUUAGGACUAUAUUCUGCUAUUUCGGGGUGCUCUUUUGUCCGGAGCCUAUAUUUUGAACUACGAGAAGAUCGGGAACAUUCAGAGAUGCUCAGAAAAGGAAAGACGACUUUGUGAGUUCGUUGGCUCGACUUUGAGAGUACCAGUUGAGAUUGACUUCUACUCUUCGUGGCUAAUAUUCGAGGAUUCCUGAUUCGAGUCCUUCAUGGUGAGCAUGAGGACGUUCGCUGCCCGAAGACUCUUUUUAUCAUUAUGUAUUUAUUUUCAUUCUGAGACAUGAUCUUUGAGGCUACUAUGUAUUAUUAUGAUACAGACUUGUAGUAUUUAGUUAGAUGCUCUUGUAUGA